CCCAAUGCUCCAGAGGAGUAGAAAACUGCAGGCACCCUCUGCCUUCCAGCCCCAAGUUACUGCAUUCUCACACUGGGCCCGCUGACCUCCUGGAUGUCUCCCUCCACCGCGGAUGCCCGUCUGGGGGUCCGUGACUGUUAGCCUCAGAUAUCACUGAGCGAGACUCUGAGAACAUGAUGCCCCUGGGUGCUGGAUGGUUGACC